AACACUGUUUAUUACAGGUAAAGGUAAUGCAGCAACUUUCCAAGGUUCCAACAAAUUUUGUGUACAGAAAUGGCAAAUGAAUAACUGAAUUAAGACUUUUAGGUCUCAAUAACACAGCAAGGGCAAUGCAAUUUUAAGUCUGGACAUGUUAUGAUACACAGAAAAAUUCAAAAAUAAAUUUGCCAAUGUGAACAUAAUGGACAAUCUUCUGAGUUCUGCAUUAAAGGAAAUCAAUUACCAAAGCCCAGGCAGGAUAAACAAACAGAAGGAUUAUGCCAAUGGAAUUUGAUAUGCCGUGAGCUUUUGUAAAUGAGUUUCUGAACCCACCAGAUGUCCGGAUAUGUUCUUGAAGCAAAUAACAAGCAAUGACAAGGCAUAUUACCACACCUACCCAGCUACUCCUUAACGUGCUUGCAAACAAACUGGGAGCCACUACUAUCAGAAGAAUCAGAGCACCUGGCAUUUCCAGCCAAUCUGGGAAACGUCUUGGGAAGAAAAGCCGCAAUAUAACAGCAACAAAAGCAAUCCAUUUUCCAACCUCUCCCCUGAAAAAGCUGAACAGUAUUGAAGGAAGACUAAAGAAAAUGUAAGGGAUUAAUAAGCUAGUAAGUAUGUCUGUUCUCCAGUUUGUUCGAUCCAAGAUCAACAAAUAAAUUGCAGCAAAAGAAGCAAGCCAUUCAAGAAAAGAGGUCCCAAAACCCAACCCACCAAGCUUGAUGGCGUGAUUGGCUAGCUUCUUAGCAGCCUCGGACAAGUCUUUGAUAUCUGAAACAAUCGAGUCACUGGUUUCUUGAUCUGUCCUCAUUGCCAGGUAGCUUUUCUUUCCCAUUUUCUCAACGCUCAAAUUCAAGAAGAAAACAACUCCAGUUUUAGACAGGAAAUCCAACCAGAAGAGCUAAACGAGAGAGAGAGAAUUAUACUUGACUAUCAGAUUCUUACAAGCUGAAGUGCUACGUCGAUGCUUACAAUUAUUGUCGGAGCUCUACUGUAAGAUUGUGCAGAUAUUGACAUUUGCCUGAUGAUCUGUUAUCUUCAAAAUUAUUGGAGAAAAUAAUCUAGAUCAAAGUUCAAACCGGCUUCAAAUUCAGUGUUGCCACGUCUAAUCCGAUUUUAAUAAUAAAAAAAAGUAGUCCUCCCUACGCUCAUAAUGGGCCUGAAAAGCUUGGUUUUUUUGACAAUGAUGGAACACAUCCAACACAAGCCCAGUUGGUUCCCUUUCAUGGUGGACCUGUUCCUUGGAUCAUAAGCAUCAGCAGGAGCUUGGAAGGAUAUAUUCCAGAGAAAUUGUAAUGCAUUUGAGCUAAAAUCAUCGUUUAACAUAUGGAACCCUACAUCUUUAAUUUUUU
rnacentral:misc_RNA from 1 species